UACGGAGGGUGCAAGCGUUAUCCGGAUUUACUGGGUUUAAAGGGUGUGUAGGCGGGUCUUUAAGUCAGUGGUGAAAUCUCCGAGCUCAACUUGGAAACUGCCAUUGAUACUAUUGAUCUUGAAUUUUGUUGAGGUUGGCGGAAUAAGUCAUGUUGCGGUGAAAUGCAUAGAUAUGACUUAGAACACCGAUUGCGAAGGCAGCUAACUAAGCAGAUAUUGACGCUGAGGCACGAAAGCGUGGGGAGCAAACAGG
rnacentral:rRNA from 1 species